GAUGAACGCUGGCGGCGUGCCUAAUACAUGCAGGUCGAGCGAAUGGAUUAAGAGCUUGCUCUUAUGAAGUUAGCGGCGGACGGGUGAGUAACACGUGGGUAACCUGCCCAUAAGACUGGGAUAACUCCGGGAAACCGGGGCUAAUACCGGAUAAUAUUUUGAACUGCAUGGUUCAAAAUUGAAAGGCGGCUUCGGCUGUCACUUAUGGAUGGACCCGCGUCGCAUUAGCCAGUUGGUGAGGUAACGGCUCACCAAGGCAACGAUGCGUAGCCGACCUGGGAGGGCAAUCGGCCACACUGAGACCGAGACACGGCACAGACUCCUACGGGAGGCAGCAGUAGGGAAUCUUCCGCAAUGGACGAAAGUCUGACGGAGCAACGCCGCGUGAGUGAUGAAGGCUUUCGGGUCGUAAAACUCUGUUGUUAGGGAAGAACAAGUGCUAGUUGAAUAAGCUGGCAUCUUGACGGUACCUAACCAGAAAGCCACGGCUAACUACGUGCCAGCCGCCGCAGUAA
rnacentral:rRNA from 1 species